GCGCCUGUAGCUCAGGUGGAUAGAGCAACAGCCUUCUAAGCUGUGGGUCAGGGGUUCGAAUCCCUUCAGGCGCG
rfam:Nitrospirae bacterium GWC2_57_9 gwc2_scaffold_22491, whole genome shotgun sequence.